rnacentral:lncRNA from 1 species
GGGAAUUUCAAUGACCAUGAGUAUCCAGUGAAAGCUGUUUACAUAUAUAUAUAUAUAUAUAGUCAGACCUAUAUAUAACUAUAUAAAACUCGUCUCGAGUAAUAAUAAGUAAAAUAAAAUGUGCAUGCACUUAAUAACUAUAUAACUCACUCGAAGUUGAAGGGGAAGAGUAUUUUUUUGUUUUUCUUUUUGGUUCACAAAGAACCUCAUAAGAUUGGUGCAGACUUCUAUCUCAUGAGAUGUUGUCCACACUGCUUGCCGAGCCUUGAAAACAAUAUAAGGGUCAACGAACCCAAUACUAUUGUCAUUUCUCAUUCUGAGCUCUCUCAUUUGGUGCCUGCAUAUAUACAUACAAAUCCUAAGUGUGUAAGGAUUAUAUACAUAUAAUUAAAGAAGGUAGAAGUUUAAUAAAAAGAAAGAAAUACUUACAGACAAAAGCAGCUG